rnacentral:rRNA from 1 species
GACGGGAGGAUGCAAGUGUUAUCCGGAAUCACUGGGCGUAAAGCGUCUGUAGGUGGUUUCAAAAGUCCACUGUUAAAAAUUGAAGCUUAACUUCAAAGAUGCCGUGGAAACUUUGAAACUUGAGUAUGAUAGGGGUAGAGGGAAUUUCCAGUGGAGCGGUGAAAUGCGUAGAUAUUGGAAAGACCACCAAUGGCGAAGGCACUCUACUGGGCCAUUACUGACACUGAGAGACGAAAGCUAGGGGAGCAAAUGGG